UACAAGGCAUACGGCUCAGUAACGCGUAGUCAACCUAACCUAUGGACGGGAAUAACCUCGGGAAACUGAGAAUAAUGCCCGAUAGAACAUUAUGCCUGGAAUGGUUUAUGUUCCAAAUGAUUUAUCGCCGUAGGAUGGGACUGCGGCCUAUCAGUUUGUUGGUGAGGUAAUGGCCCACCAAGACUAUUACAGGUACGGGCUCUGAGAGGAGUAGCCCGGAGAUGGGUACUGAGACACGGACCCAGGCCCUAUGGGGCGCAGCAGGCGAGAAAACUUUGCAAUGUGCGAAAGCACGACAAGGUUAAUCCGAGUGGUUUCUGCUAAAGAAACCUUUUGUCAGUCCUAGAAACACUGAUGAAUAAGGGGUGGGCAAGUUCUGGUGUCAGCCGCCGCGGUAAAACCAGCACCUCAAGUGGUCAGGAUGAUUAUUGGGCCUAAAGCAUCCGUAGCCGGCUCUGUAAGUUUUCGGUUAAAUCUGUACGCUCAACGUACAGGCUGCCGGGAAUACUGCAGAGCUAGGGAGUGGGAGAGGUAGACGGUACUCGGUAGGAAGGGGUAAAAUCCUUUGAUCUAUUGAUGACCACCUGUGGCGAAGGCGGUCUACCAGAACACGUCCGACGGUGAGGGAUGAAAGCUGGGGGAGCAAACCGGAUUAGAUACCCGGGUAGUCCCAGCUG
rnacentral:rRNA from 1 species